CUCACCUAAAAGCAAGUGAGAAAUAAGUAAGCAGCAUGUUAGACUAAAACUUAUAAAUAAAUAAAUAAAAAAUAACUGUUCCUAGGAGACAGGUCAACACAAGCUUCCAGGAUUAAAGUAAGGGCGAAGGCGCAGGGGCUGUCAGGAUUACAGUGAGUGUGACUGCGCUGAUGAGACAGCAUGUGGAUGAUGAUGAUGAGCUUAUGACCACCAGGAAGCCAGACAUCCAGCAUGGAGCUGUGAGGCAAUCCUCCCGGGGCGCAAACGGUAUCUGAGCUUUCCCAGACGAGAAUGUAUUCUUUUCUUCUACACACUGAAGGAGGGGAAAUAAGAGCAGACACAUCGGGCUGUGUCCCUUGAUGUGUGCUGUACAGCUGUGCGUGCGCAGGGGAAAGGAAGGGUUUAAAAAAAUGAUAAAGACAGACACGGAUAUCAAUAAAGAGCCAGAGCACAUGUAUGUAGGAGUGUUUCUAUCUAUCUCAUGCUUGGCCUGGCUCCAUCGCUACUGGCUGUACAGUGUAAUUUCACCGCCUGUUUGAUUCGGCGCUGAGAAAAAAAAAAUGUAAGCAGCUGACUCAUCUAUUAUUCCCUCUUUCUCCUCGCUCUGCAAGUGGAUAAACCCUCUUCUUUGCUUCGGCUGGAGCCUCUGCUUCUCUGUCGUUACUCAUCUUUCUCUCUCUCUAUCUCUUGUCAUGGCAACAACAUUCUCUCGCGUAGUAUUUGCUCUCCAGC